rfam:Pteropus alecto contig64984, whole genome shotgun sequence.
GUCUAUGGCCAUGCCAUCCUGAACGUGCCUGAUCUCGUUUGAUCUCAGAAGCUAAGCAGGGUCAGGCCUGGUUAGUACUUGGAUGGGAGACCACCUAAGAAUAUCAGGUGCUGUUGGUG